UAGUGUGCCAGAUUUAAGGCUAUCAAAUUCAUCUCUUUGUCCAGCUACAGGCGAGGCUACAGGCUAGCCUGCAGAUUAAAAAAUGAUAGGUACCAGUGUUUGAGUGUACCAGAUUUAUCAGAGCCAGGCUACCAAAUUCAUAUAUUUGCCCUGCUACAGACGAGGCUACAGAGAUUUUUACAGGGAUAGGUAAGUCUG